rnacentral:ncRNA from 1 species
UUAAAUACGAUGAUGAAGCCAAGUAAAUGAAUCGAUGGUUAUAGAGAGUGCUAUAAAUGGUGUAAAUAGCAUACCCUCUCGACUUCAUUGAACCUACUUCUGAGUAGUUAUGACAACAUAACCGUAGCCUUUGCGAUAAAAGGAUUCGAGUUGUGCCAUUUUUUUGGCGAACUAAGGUGGUACCGCGGAAAUGAUCAUGCGUUUUUCGUCCUUAUU